rnacentral:tRNA from 1 species
ACUUAAAUAGUUUAAUAAAAAUAUUGGCUUGUGGGGCCAAAGUUAUAAGAAUUUAUUUUAAGUA